rnacentral:misc_RNA from 1 species
AAAACAAAAGAAAAGAAAAAAAAAAGUAAAAGUCUUCUUCCUCAUCCAAAGUGCCGCCCUCACUCUCCCUUACCUCUCUAUUGUUAAACCUCCAUUGAAACUUGUACUCAAGCUCAAAUUUCCUCACUUAACCUUAAGAUUUUCCAUAAACACUUCAUCAAAGCUUGUUAUCUCAACCUAAGAAGAAGAUUGAAAGAGCAAAGAAAAAGAAAAAGGAAGAGAAUUGAAGAAUUGGACAUCAAAGAUUGAGGUUAGUGAUUUAAGUUGCAAAAUUAGUUUAUUAGUUGUGUUUAUAGCUUAACUAACUUAGAAAUAAACUUAAAAUAAAAUGAAAUCAAUUGUUGGAGGACUAAACAUGGAAUUCGGCCAGCAUGUGUGGGGGGUGAUUUGCAUGGUUUGAUUGAUUUAAAGGGGAAUAUGAACAUCAACUAGUUGAAUGAUUAUAGUUAAAUGCUUAGAUUUGGUUAAAUGUAACUACUAGUGUGAUUAGGGUUUGGACACUUAGGGUUUAGGAGAUAAAAUUUGAAGAAAUGGUGAA